AACGAACGCUGGCGGCAGGCCUAACACAUGCAAGUCGAGCGCCCUUUCGGGGGAGCGGCGGACGGGUGAGUAACGCGUGGGAAUAUGCCCUUCUCUACGGAAUAGCCUCGGGAAACUGAGAGUAAUACCGUAUACGCCCUGUGGGGGAAAGAUUUAUCGGGGAAGGAUUAGCCCGCGUUGGAUUAGGUAGUUGGUAGGGUAAUGGCCUACCAAGCCGACGAUCCAUAGCUGGUUUGAGAGGAUGAUCAGCCACACUGGGACUGAGACACGGCCCAGACUCCUACGGGAGGCAGCAGUGGGGAAUCUUAGACAAUGGGGGCAACCAUGAUCUAGCCAUGCCGCGUGAGUGAUGAAGGCCUUAGGGUUGUAAAGCUCUUUCAGCUGGGAAGAUAAUGACGGUACCAGCAGAAGAAGCCCCGGCUAACUCCGUG
rnacentral:rRNA from 1 species